rnacentral:lncRNA from 1 species
CGUUCGGUAACUUUUCUAUUAUAUUGAUACUAUUCCACCAUCUUUUUGUGGGUGUGCUUUCAGCAUUAGGUCACCUCGGGCAUAAUUGUUCAAAUUAUGAUGAAAAUUACUGGUAAAAAGUUGUCUUGCUACACUGUUCUUGAGCCUUACUGUUUUUUCUGACCAUUUUCUUCUUGCUUUGAGCGUAUGCUAAAUUUUCGGAUUUUUGCUUUUACUGCUUAAUUUUUCUAUCCUUUCUCCCUGCGUUUUUAGCUCCUAUUAACUCUCUUUUUUUUAUUGUAUAUAUUAUUUUCUUCCAAAUAGACUUGGUAUUUUCGAACUUUGUAUUUUUUUUGAACUUGGGUAGUUUAUCAGUUUCAUUGAAAAAAAGGUUUCCUUUUCCCCUUGCUUACUUCCUGGAUGUUUAACCCUUUGGAAAAGAACUUAUGUGCUCCCUCCUUUUGCAGCUCGCGCGAUGAUGGCUAUUCACCUUUCUUACGCUAGGCUAUUGCGUGAAGUUUAUGAACAGCUCCAGCUCUAAGUACCACAGUGUGUAAUAAGUGUGGACUCAAGAGGGAAAGUUUGUGGGCUAUAUAGAUUUACAAAUUCCCCAGAGCAAAACUGUAGUCGAAACGGUUCAAUGUGCAAUUGCCCAAUUUCCUACGUCUGCUAGGGCUGAGCAAGAUGCCGCACGCAUUGCUCUUAAGAGACUAAAAGAUGAAUGUGAUUUGCAUAUCAAAGAUAUUAAUUAUGAUGACUCUGCAUUCUACAAAAAUUUAUAUGACCACCAAAUUACUGGUUAUGCAAUACUAUUUGCACAAUAUAGUAAUCUUUCGCGUGAAUAUAAUUUUUUGAAGGAAUGUUA